rnacentral:rRNA from 1 species
CAUCACUACGCUAGAUGCAUAUCAAUAAGCGGAGGAAAAGAAACUAACAAGGAUUCCCCUAGUAACGGCGAGUGAAGCGGGAAGAGCUCAAAUUUGAAAUCUUAAAGGGUUUCCCUUUACGAAUUGUAGUUUAAAGAAGUGUUUUCUGUUGGAGUUUCGGUAAAAGUUCUUUGGAAUAGGACAUCAUAGAGGGUGAGAAUCCCGUAUUUGACCGUUACUUUCCAGCUGUGUGAUACACUUUCAAAGAGUCGGAUUGUUUGGGAAUGCAGUCCAAAAUGGGUGGUAAAUUUCAUCUAAAGCUAAAUAUUGGUGAGAGACCGAUAGCGAACAAGUACCGUGAGGGGAAGAUGAAAAGAACUUUGAAAAGAGAGUUAAACAGUACGUGAAAUUGUCAAAAGGGAAGCGUUUGACACCAGUGUUGUUUAGUUGAAAAUCAAUUCAAUAAUUUUUGAUUUUGAGUAGUAUUGACUUCAUCAGCUUGCUGCUUUCUUUUCCGAAAUUAUUGAAUGCACUUUUCAGUUAACAAGUCAACAUCAAUUUCUUUUGUUGUAAAAGGGUAAGAGGAAGGUGGCUUACGCUUCGGCGUAAGUGUUUAUAGCCUUUUACCUCUGCAAUCGGAGAGAUUGAGGACAGCAGCGUAGACUCCUUCGGGGUUAGAUACACUUGUGCUAAGCUAUAGCCUUGUAUAGACAACUUGUUGACUAUGCUCAGUCAUGUAGCUUACUCGCUUGUGCUAUUUUACCUACGCUUAGGAUGUUGAUAUGCAUGACUGAUAU